GGCCUCGUGGCCCAAUGGCAAGGCGUCUGACUACGAUAAAGAACUCAGCACUGAAUUCUUAACGCAAUCAGGAGAUUCUGGGUUCGACCCCCAGCGAGGUCA